UACGGAGGGUGCAAGCGUUAUCCGGAUUCACUGGGUUUAAAGGGUGCGUAGGAGGGUAGGUAAGUCAGUGGUGAAAUCUCCGGGCUCAACUCGGAAACUGCCGUUGAUACUAUCUGUCUUGAAUACCGUGGAGGUGAGCGGAAUAUGUCAUGUAGCGGUGAAAUGCUUAGAUAUGACAUAGAACACCGAUUGCGAAGGCAGCUCACUACACGAAUAUUGACUCUGAGGCACGAAAGCGUGGGGAUCAAACAGGAUUAGAAACCCCCGUAGUCC
rnacentral:rRNA from 1 species